CCGUGGAAACCACCGAUCUAACCCCACCCCUUCCUUUGACAGACUGUGAAACUGAGGCCCAAAGAGGAACAGUCACUAGCCCAAGGAGAAGAAGACUCUGUGCCCCAGGCCCCUCAUAUCUAUGACGGCAUGUGAUCCUCCCAACCAUGGUGAAAGGGACUGCGAGGACUCGGACUUGUCCCCAGAGAGAGGGAGCAACUGAAGACAGUUUCACAGAUGAUGAUAAAAUGGAACAAGUGUACAGCGAGGAAACCGGAGGCCUGAGUUCCGGCCCCAGCUCUGUACUGACAAACAAGCUGUGUGUCCUUGAGCAAACCUCUUGCCCUCUCUGAGCCUCCAUGAGAGCAAGUUAUAGCGAUUACAGUGAGUUCUGCCUUACAGAAGCCAGACAUAAUAUGCAGCAAAAUCAGCGGCUAUGUGCUGAUGCAUGGCCUCGGGGGCCAUCCGAGCUCCAUGUUGUGGAGGCAAUAUGGAGUGGUCCAGGAGGAGCCAGGAAAGCAGGAGAGGAAGAAGCUGGGGCGUUUCCUUCUGACCCUUCCCUGCUCCGACAACUGUCGCAUACCUCCUGAUCUAUCAGGUGCUCCUACUGGU